AGAGUUUGAUCCUGGCUCAGAACGAACGCUGGCGGCAGGCUUAACACAUGCAAGUCGAGCGCCCCGCAAGGGGAGCGGCAGACGGGUGAGUAACGCGUGGGAAUCUACCCAGCUCUACGGAAUAACUCAGGGAAACUUGAGCUAAUACCGUAUACGUCCGAUAGGAGAAAGAUUUAUCGGAGUUGGAUGAGCCCGCGUUGGAUUAGCUAGUUGGUGGGGUAAUGGCCUACCAAGGCGACGAUCCAUAGCUGGUCUGAGAGGAUGAUCAGCCACACUGGGACUGAGACACGGCCCAGACUCCUACGGGAGGCAGCAGUGGGGAAUAUUGGACAAUGGGCGAAAGCCUGAUCCAGCCAUGCCGCGUGAGUGAUGAAGGCCCUAGGGUUGUAAAGCUCUUUCACCGGUGAAGAUAAUGACGGUAACCGGAGAAGAAGCCCCGGCUAACUUCGUGCCAGCAGCCGCGGUA
rnacentral:rRNA from 1 species